rnacentral:rRNA from 1 species
AACGAACGCUGGCGGCAUGCCUAACACAUGCAAGUCGAACGAGACCUUCGGGUCUAGUGGCGCACGGGUGCGUAACGCGUGGGAACCUGCCCUUAGGUUCGGAAUAACUCCCCGAAAGGGGUGCUAAUACCGGAUAAUGUCUUCGGACCAAAGAUUUAUCGCCUUUGGAUGGGCCCGCGUUGGAUUAGCUAGUUGGUAGGGUAAAAGCCUACCAAGGCGACGAUCCAUAGCUGGUCUGAGAGGAUGAUCAGCCACACUGGGACUGAGACACGGCCCAGACUCCUACGGGAGGCAGCAGUGGGGAAGAUUGGACAAUGGGCGAAAGCCUGAUCCAGCAAUGCCGCGGGAGUGAUGAAGGCCUUAGGGUUGUAAAGCUCUUUUACCCGGGAUGAUAAUGACAGUACCGGGAGAAUAAGCUCCGGCUAACUCCGU